GUGGAGGCAAUCUAAACGUUAACGAUACGUAUGGAAGUUCAAGUGAAUUAGAUUUGGAUUCAAACUUAGAGGCGGACAUUGAGGGAGGAUAUAACAGCACAAUUUAACACAGGUUUCUGGUGGCAAAGGUGGAAAUGAUGAUGACAAGACCUCUACUAAAUAAAAGCCGUAUUGUGUACUAAAUUAUAUUCUAAAAUUAUUUAAAUUAGGCAAAUUAUAUAACGACAAGAAUACAAUGGCUUGAAAUACAUACAUCAUAAGCUAAUAACAAUAAAAUUCCUUCGUCGACGAAUGAAUAUAUUUCUUAUUAUACACUUAUAUUUGUUUUAAGUAUAAACAUAAAAAUUGAUUAUAAUGAUAUAAAUUGUUAAAAAUGGUAAUAUAUGUAUACAUAUAAGUAUAUAUGGCUAUGUGUAAAAUAUAUGCAGCAAAAUAUA
rnacentral:sRNA from 1 species